rnacentral:lncRNA from 11 species
CACUUCCUCACAGGACUGCUCUCCUCCUCCAGGUUCGUUUGUUAACGCUGACCUUGCUUCAGACACAGUCUUCUCGGCCUCUUCUCCCUGUUUCUCUACAUGGAGUCC